UUUGAGUAAAAUCCGUCUUAAUAUCUAAAGCGUGGUCAACUGUUGAGCUCGUCAGUUUUUUUAAAAUUUCUUCCUGUGGCUGUAGUAAUUUAAAAUCAUGUCAGGUACUGAUACUUUGUUUGUAGUCGUACAGUUUAACGAACUGAUAAAUGACAAAAAGUGCGUCGAAUUGCUGCCAAUCUCCUGGUUAUUUGAUAAUGAGGAAAUGUGUUAUUAUCCUCCCAAAAAAGAUUUUUCAAAAAUCGAGAAAUGGGUGGAAAAUCAACGUGUUCCUGGUGAAACGUGGCCAUCAUACCCGAUAACUAUCAUUUCUAAAGCAAAAGAUUAUGAACAAGGAAUUAGAAGACUGAGAAGAUCUUUUAAAAAAAAAGAUGUCAGUUCUGACACCGAAUCUCAGUUGCACAACACUGUUGAACCUCUUCAGUUGAACUCUGCAGGUGUUUCUCAAGCAUUAGCCACACCGCGUCCGCUGAGUAGAAACAAUAUCCAGAAUAGAGAUUCUACAUCCAUGACAAAAAAAAACAGUACAGCAAGCGUACUUGAUGCAAUUCCAGAAAAUGGUGGUGAAUCAUCCCUAUUGAUACGGAGGACGCUACUGGAGGAGCAUCGACGUUUCCAAGACAACCACUUAUGAAUUCCCAUGAAGAUAUAUCUGAGUUCAAGGCAGCUGUUGAAGAUUUAAAACUGUUUAUUAAAAAAGAGCUAAACAACGCGAAGAGGAGUAUACUCUACGACUUGGAUCAAAAGAUGAAUACCCUGAAAUUAGAAAUUAUAAAACAAAGUUCUGAUCAAUCUGUCCAUCCACAGCCUUGGAAAAUUAUAGGCACAGAUUUGCCAGCCAAUGAUGUAGAAAAAUUUUUUGGAAUUUGACGAAGCUCUUAAAGUUGACAGCGCGAAACAGGAAGCACUGAAAGAUAUUUUUCGAUUGGAAACUAUUGGAUCUACCGACUAUGAAUCGGAUAUUUCAGUUAUCCUGAAAAAAUUAAUUACCAAAACUGUUCAAUUGCAGUACAGUGGCUGUGGUAGAGUCGUUAAUGGGAUCGGAAAAAAAAAUUUUUCUGCUACGGAAUUUUUUAAACACAUGAAUGAAUUUCUGAUGACUAAGUACAGCGAAUCAAAAGCGACGUUAAAAAUAACCCACGCAACCAGUAGAUUUUUUGCCGGCGCAAAAGAUAGAGACGGUGGCCGAUCACAACGGCAAAAAAAUCCUCCAACUAUUAAUCCAUAAUUAAACAAUCCUUAUUUUCAUUUAUAAUAAUUCGUUUUCAAUACGAAAAUUCAAAAAUUAAUCGACCCUUAAAUUUAAGUUAUAUAAUUAAAAACUCAUUUAUUAUUUAUAAUU